ACGAACGCUGGCGGCGUGCCUAAUACAUGCAAGUCGAACGGCUUUUCUAUGGAAGCUUGCUUCCACUGAGAAGAUAGUGGCGAACGGGGUGAGUAACACGUGGGGUAACCUGCCCAUAAGAGGGGGGAUAACAUCCGGAAACGGGUGCUAAUACCGCAUAGUUUUCUUGAUCGCAUGAUUGAGAAAGGAAAGACGGCCUUUGUGCUGUCGCUUAUGGAUGGACCCGCGGCGUAUUAGUUAGUUGGUGAGGUAACGGCUCACCAAGACGAUGAUACGUAGCCGACCUGAGAGGGUGAUCGGCCACAUUGGGACUGAGACACGGCCCAAACUCCUACGGGAGGCAGCAGUAGGGAAUCUUCCGCAAUGGACGAAAGUCUGACGGAGCAACGCCGCGUGAGUGAAGAAAGGGUUUUCGGAUCGUAAAACUCUGUUGUCAGAGAAGAACAAGUUGGAGAGUAACUGCUCCAGCCUUGACGGUAUCUGACCAGAAAGCCACGGCUAACUACGUGCCAGCCGCUGC
rnacentral:rRNA from 1 species